AGUGAACGCUGGCGGUAGGCCUAACACAUGCAAGUCGAACGGCAGCACAGUAAGAGCUUGCUCUUACGGGUGGCGAGUGGCGGACGGGUGAGGAAUACAUCGGAAUCUACUUUUUCGUGGGGGAUAACGUAGGGAAACUUACGCUAAUACCGCAUACGACCUACGGGUGAAAGCAGGGGAUCUUCGGCCCUUGCGCGAUUGAAUGAGCCGAUGUCGGAUUAGCUAGUUGGCGGGGUAAAGGCCCAACAAGGCGACGAUCCGUAGCUGGUCUGAGAGGAUGAUCAGCCACACUGGAACUGAGACACGGUCCAGACUCCUACGGGAGGCAGCAGUGGGGAAUAUUGGACAAUGGGCGUAAGCCUGAUCCAGCCAUACCGCGUGGGUGAAGAAGGCCUUCGGGUUGUAAAGCCCUUUUGUUGGGAAAGAAAAGCAGCAGGUUAAUACCCCGCUGUUCUGACGGUACCCAAAGAAUAAGCACCGGCUAACUUCGUG
rnacentral:rRNA from 1 species